UCGCCUGGGAGCGUCACACACUCCUGAUGCGCAGAUCCACCUCGUCACCAUCUCCGGGUGGGGACAGGCCCCGGCAUUAAAGCCCUCCAGGUGGCUGCCAUGUGCGCCGGGCCGGGAACCACCCUCCCUGGCAGUGAGCUCCCAGGAGGGAGUGCCGAGGUCAGGCAUUAAAUGGCUGUUUGCCCACCGUGUGAGGUUUUAGGGGGGCUACACGGCUCAUCUAGUCCUCUCCAAAGAAACCAGAUACCCAGGGGGGAGAAGCAUCUAGAAACAGCGCUGGCAAGAGAGACUGUGUGCGCUGUUCACAGCUCGAGUUGCUGAGUCGCUGGCCCCGCGGUCCCGCAAAGUCCUUCGGGUUCAGCCAAGGAAGACAUAAGGCUGAGGCCUCUUCAUGGAAUCCAAGCACGGGUGUGGGCUCCCCCGAGGAUCUCCAGGCCUUUCCAUGAGGGGAGUGCGGAAGGGAGCUGGAGAGGGCCUGGUGUCACUGAGACGGAAAGUCCCGGACACCGCAGACGGUGCCCCAGCUGCUGUCGCUGGGGGGAGGUGGGGGGCCUGCGGCCACCAUGGCUGGGGGAGUCCUGGGGGGUUCCGGAGGCGAGGACACGGCCGGCUCGUACAGGUUCUCUCUCCUGCAUCUCCCCCACCUCUGCGCCGAGCACAGGAAUGCUGCCCGUGAGGUCUACCCCAGACCUUUCGCUCUACCCCAAGGGCAGUACCCUAAAGGCAGCAGCUGCUCUUCCUCACCCCCUUUAUAGAUGAGAAAACGGAGGUGAGAGAGGCAGAGUGUGCCUGGUUGUGCAGCUAGAAGGGAAGGAGCUGGGAUCCAAACCCACACUUUUUCUUUUUUUAAAAAAACUGCCUCGGGGCGCCUUGAUGGCUCAGACUGCUGGGUGUCCGACUCUUGGUUUCGGCUCAGGCCAUGAUCCCAGGGUCAUGGAAUUGAGCCCCGAGUCAGGCUCCAUGCUGAGUGUGGACCCUGCUUCAGAUUCUGUCUCUGUCCUCUGCUCUCUUGAGAUAUAAUUUACAUCCGUUAAAAUGCAUGGAUUUAAUGAGUCUUGACAGAGGUAUACAAACGGCAACUGUGACCAUGACCGUGAGCUACAGACCAUUUUCAUCAUCCUCGAACAUCCCUCUUUGUAGUCGGUACCCUCCGCCAGCCCCCAUCCCUGGCGACCACCGAUGUGUUUUGCAUGUUCUAGACUUUCGUAUAAGCAGAAACAUGCCAUAUGUAAUGUUUUGUAUCCGGCUGUCUUACUCAGCACGAGGCUUCUGAGAUUCAUUCACGUCACUGCCGAUACCAGCUAUUGGUUCCUUUCUGUCCCGAGCAGCGGCGCCCCACGUGGACGGACUACGAUGUGCGUGUGCAUUUACGUGCGCUGAUGGACACUGGGGUCAUUGCCAGGUUUUAACUGCUAUAAAUAGAGCUCUGAGGACCAUCUGGGGAGAAGACUUGGUGUGAACAUAGCGUUGCUUUCUUUUGUGUGAAGCAUCCUAGGGAGAGGAUUACCGGGUCAUGUGACAGACAUUUAACUUUUGAAAGAAACCGUCAGACCGUUUCCCACAGGGGCCGAACCAGUUCUGCAUCCCUACUAGCAACUGAGCGUCCCAGCGGCUCUAAAUUCUCGCCAGUACUCAGCAUUGCCAGUCUUCUCAAUUUUAUCCACUCUGGUGGGGAUGCAGUGGGGUCUCCCGGUGGCUUCCACGGCUCAUACUGUUGAGCAUCUUUUCGGAUGCUGGAUUGUCACUGAUACCUCCUCUUUGGCGAAGCGUCUAUUUAAAUCUCAGGCACAUCUUGGACCAGGCUGGAUGUCUCAUUACUGAGUUGUACACGUUCUUUAUGUAUUCUGGAUGCAAGUCUUUCAGCAGAAAGGACUUGCAGAUUUUGUUUUUAUCUUUUCGUGCCUUCUCAUCUUCUUAACAGUGUCUUCUGCAGGACGAAGCUUUGGAAUAUAAAUGAAGCUCAAGGUCUCA